UGCUCCGAGCAGACUGAGUCCGCGUAAUGUAUUAGGUUCUGCCAACUCGUUACAGGAAUUCUCAGGAUUUGUGGGGAGCGCGGGCGACGCCUAACAAGCCGGGAUUUCUUUCUAGAUCUCUAGGAGGGAAGCCCAAAAAGUUUGACCUCAAAUCAGGUAGGACUACCCGCUGAACUUAAGCAUAUCAAUAAGCGGAGGAAAAGAAACCAACAGGGAUUGCCUCAGUAACGGCGAGUGAAGCGGCAAAAGCUCAAAUUUGAAAUCCGGUACCUUUGGUGCCCGAGUUGUAAUUUGAAGAUGGCAACUUUGGGGGCGGCCUUUAUCUAUGUUCCUUGGAACAGGACGUCACAGAGGGUGAGAAUCCCGUCUGAUGAGGUGACCCGCUCCUUUGUAAAGUGCUUUCGACGAGUCGAGUUGUUUGGGAAUGCAGCUCUAAGUGGGUGGUAAAUUCCAUCUAAAGCUAAAUAUUGGCGAGAGACCGAUAGCGAACAAGUACAGUGAUGGAAAGAUGAAAAGAACUUUGAAAAGAGAGUGAAAAAGUACGUGAAAUUGUUGAAAGGGAAGGGUAUUAGAUCAGACUUGGCGGUGUUCGAUUAUCUUCCCCUUGUGGGUUGUGCACUCGAGCGCUGCUGGGCCAGCAUCGAUUUGUGCGGCGGGAUAAGAGUUCUGGGAACGUGGCAUCCUCUUCGGGGGGUGU
rnacentral:rRNA from 1 species